CCUACGGGUGGCUGCAGUGAGGAAUAUUGGUCAAUGGACGAGAGUCUGAACCAGCGAAGCAGCGUGAAGGAUGACUGCCCUAUGGGUUGUAAACUCCUUUUAUAUGGGAAUAAAAUGAUCCACGUGUGGGACUUUGUAUGUACCAUACGAAUAAGGUUCGGCUAACUCCGUUCCAGCAGCCGCGGUAAUACGGAGGGGCCGAGCGUUGUCCGGAUUUAUUGGGUUUAAAGGGAGCGUAGGUGGAUUGUUAAGUCAGGUGUGAAAGUUUGGGGCUCAACCGUAAAAUUGCAGUUGAAACUGGCAGACUAGAGUACAGGAGAGGUGAGCGGAAUUCGUGGUGUAGCGGUGAAAUGCUUAGAUAUCACGAGGAACACCGGUGGCGAAGGCGGCUCACUGGA
rnacentral:rRNA from 1 species